rnacentral:rRNA from 1 species
UAGGGCACUCUAAGUGAGACUGCCGGUGACAAACCGGAGGAAGUGGGGAUGACGUCAAGUCCUCAUGGCCCUUAUGGGUAGGGCUUCACACGUCAUACAAUGGUCGGUACAGAGGGUUGCCAAGCCGCGAGGCGGAGCCAAUCCCACAAAGCCGAUCGUAGUCCGGAUUGUUCUCUGCAACUCGAGAGCAUGAAGUCGGAAUCGCUAGUAAUCGCAGGUCAGCAUACUGCGGUGAAUACGUUCCCGGGUCUU